rnacentral:lncRNA from 1 species
ACAUAUUGGGUUAAGUAAAAAGUAUUAUUAAAAUUAAUUUCAUGGGUUUCUUACUGCAUUUUUUCAAGCAGCUACUAGGAAGUUUAAAAUUACAUAUGUGGCCCACGUUACAUUUCUGCUGGACAGUGCUGUUCUAAGGACCUCAGAAUUCUCCACUGGAUCCUCUCCAACCAACUAGCGGAUAAUGAGAGGAAGAAAGCAGAGGGCUGCAGGGGCGGUUUCCCUAUGGCUUUGUGCAGACCUCAGUUAUGAUGCCACCCUGAACUACGAAGGAAGAAGGCAAACGUAAUCUGCCCAGGAAGGAGAGGAAGCGGAUUUGGGAAGCAGCAAGCUGGCCUCUGGCGCAGAGGGACAUCCUACAAAUCGCUCUUCAAGUCUCACACCAGAAACUAAAGAGCUCCUUAGACGUGACUCUGAAAUGUGAUUGUGCUGGGGGACAGGUGCCAGUCAGAGGCGCAGGCUGGGAAAGGAGGAAGAUGCUGUUACUCUUUAGACAUGCAUCGUGAAGUAUUUAAGGCUGUUUCAAGAGUUUAGAAUAAACAAAAAUUUAUUUCUAACUAUAACUGCCACUACAUCAGUGCCCCAGGUCAGCUGCCACUCUCCGUGUCAUCUUCAGCCUGGUGUGCAGGCUGAAAGAGCAGGCCUGUCUUAGCACAUUGUUCCAGAAGUAAAAUAAAGAUGAUGAAUCAAAUCAUGACUCAAAAUGUCGGUUUCACUUCCACUCGUAUUUAUCAGCUAGCGCAACUCAAGCGGCUGAGUCUAGCACCAAUGGGGUAGGGUAUAAUUCUCCCACAGGGUGGGGCAGUAGAAUUAUUAAGAAACCGAUGACAGUGAGAACAAAGUAUCCAAAAC